GUUUCGCGUGGGACCGGGAUGGGAUCGGGGUGGGGACGUGGGAUGGGGCUGGUAUAGGGCACGGGAUGGGACAUGGGAUGGGAACGGGAUUGGACACUGAAUGGGAUAAGGAUGGGACCGAGAUGGGGCACGGGAUGGGAUACGAGUGUGCCCGAACGGAUGGCAAUCUGGAGGGGCCACGGUGGGGCCAGGUUGGUCCUGAUCCCUGUCCCGAUCCGUGUCCCGGACCCGUUCCGCGAGCAGCGCGGUGACGGGAUGGGCCGAGCCCCGCGGUGUGAGGGAUGCUCCAAAGGGCCAUGGCAGACCUCGAGGAUCAGGACGGGAUCCACAUUCGAUACCGUACUGAUGGAAGCCUUUUCAACCUAAGGCAACUGAAGGCCCACACUAAGACCUUAAACCAUCUUGUCCAGGAGCUGCUUUAUGCUGAUGACGCCGCCCUUGCUGCCCACACAGAAGCAGCUCUGCAGCGUUUAACAUCCUGCCUGAGGCUGCUGAGCUCUUUGGGCUGGAACUCAGUUUAAAGAAGACAGAGGUUCUCUAUCAACCUGCACCUCAGGAAGUCUUCCAUCAUCCCCAAAUCACCAUUGGCCAAUCAGAGCUCAAAUCAGUCCAGCAGUUUAAUUACCUAGGCAGCCUCAUCUCCUCGGACGGUAAGAUUGAUGGAGAGAUAGACAACAGGUUGGCAAAGGCAUAUAGUGCUUUUGGAAAACUCCAUAAAAGAGUUUGGCGAAAUAAACACCUGAAGAAAAGUACCAAGAUCAGUGUUUACAGAGCCAUUGUGCUGUCUACUCUCUCAUAUGGAUCCGAAUCAUGGGUCAUCUACUGCCACCACCUGCGACUCCUGGAACGCUUCCAUCAGCGCUGCCUCCGUACAAUCCUAAACAUCCACUGGUCAGAUUAUGUGACCAACACAUCUGUUCUAGAACAAGCAGCAGUCACAAGCAUUGAGGCCAUGUUGCUGAGAACACAGGUGUGCUGGGCAGGGCACGUCUCCAGGAUGAAGGACCAACCACCCCCUCCCUAAGAUCUUGCUCUAUGGUGAACUUGCCACCGGCUGCCGCAAGAGAGGAGCCCCGAAGAGGAGAUACAAGGACUCCCUGAAACAACAUCUCAACCUUGGCCAUACUGAUCACCAUAACUGGUCUACUCUGGCCUCCAACCAGGAGGUCUGAAGACACACCAUCUGUAACACUGCUGAUGCCUUUGAGAACGCACACAGGAUCACCCUUGAGGAGAAAAGGCAACACAGAAAGAAUCGUGCCCUGCAGAAUUUACCAUCUAAGGAGUCUUUCUGCUGUGCCUUUUGCAAUCGGAUGUGUCUAUCUCGUAUUGGCCUUUUUAGCCACCAGCAUGCUUGUGACAAACGUCGGUAGAGACCUUUCCCAAAUCUUCGUUUGCAAAGCCCAGCCAUGAUAUUUUAUCAUAUAAUAUAUAUUACAUAUUUUAUAUUUUUAUAAUUAUAUAAAAUAUAUAUUACAUAUAUCUUUAUAUAAUUAUAUAUAAUAUAGUUAUAUAACUCUAAUGAUUUAAUAAUGUUACCUUUUAAUAAUUUUUAUUGUUCUAAUUUAAUUCUGUUUUAAUUUAAUUCUUAA